AACGAACGCUGGCGGCAUGCCUAACACAUGCAAGUCGAACGAUACCUUCGGGUCUAGUGGCGCACGGGUGCGUAACGCGUGGGAAUCUACCCUUGGGUUCGGAAUAACAGUUAGAAAUGACUGCUAAUACCGGAUGAUGACGAAAGUCCAAAGAUUUAUCGCCCAUGGAUGAGCCCGCGUAAGAUUAGCUUGUUGGUGGGGUAAUGGCCUACCAAGGCGACGAUCUUUAGCUGGUCUGAGAGGAUGAUCAGCCACACUGGGACUGAGACACGGCCCAGACUCCUACGGGAGGCAGCAGUGGGGAAUAUUGGACAAUGGGCGAAAGCCUGAUCCAGCAAUGCCGCGUGAGUGAUGAAGGCCUUAGGGUUGUAAAGCUCUUUUACCAGGGAUGAUAAUGACAGUACCUGGAGAAUAAGCUCCGGCUAACUCCGUGCCAGCCGCCGCGGUAAAAC
rnacentral:rRNA from 1 species